rnacentral:lncRNA from 1 species
CAAAAAUCAAAUAACCCCAUCAAAAAGUGGGCUAAGGACAUGAAUAGACAGGUGUUGGCAUGGAUGUGGUGAAAAUGGAACACUUUUACACUUCUGGUGGGAAUGUAAACUAGUACAGCCACUACAGAAAACAGUACAGAGGUUCCUUAAAGAAGUGUAAGUAGAUCUACCAUUUCAUCCAGCAAUCCCACUACUGACGGCAGCGGCAGGCAGUCUGAAGUGGCUGCUGCCAUGAAGCUGGCUGCAGUGAGGUGCAGGCGCUGGCCGUGGGUCCAAGGGGCCAGACACAGAGGCAGGCGAUCCCCAGAGCCAGUUGCCCUGGGAGCCUUCCUCUGGGAGCCGCUGCAAUGGGGCUAGGCCCAGCUGCCUGUAGGGCGUGGUCAGGCAGGGAGGGGUGAGCAGAGAGAGGCCCCAAGAUGGAGCUGGGCCAGUGGUGGUUCGGCACUUGCACAUGUAGCGUGGGGGUCGGGCCCGAACGCGGAGCAGUGGCCGCGCUUCAGGGGCCGGGGUGGGAAGUGGGAGUGGCGCCCACUUCCAGGACCCAGCCAGCAAUGCGGCCCCUGCACCCACCCUGCCCACAGUGCCAGGUUCCCGCCCCUCACAGGAGGCUAAACGAAGGGCCGCCAGAGGCCGUGUCCCUAGGAUCUGCCCC